rnacentral:rRNA from 1 species
GGGGCUACGAGUCACUCCAACCCCUGUGACAUACCAAUUGUUGCCUCGGCGGAUCAGCCCGCUCCCGGUAAAACGGGACGGCCCGCCAGAGGACCCCUAAACUCUGUUUCUAUAUGUAACUUCUGAGUAAAACCAUAAAUAAAUCAAAACUUUCAACAACGGAUCUCUUGGUUCUGGCAUCGAUGAAGAACGCAGCAAAAUGCGAUAAGUAAUGUGAAUUGCAGAAUUCAGUGAAUCAUCGAAUCUUUGAACGCACAUUGCGCCCGCCAGUAUUCUGGCGGGCAUGCCUGUUCGAGCGUCAUUUCAACCCUCAAGCCCCCGGGUUUGGUGUUGGGGAUCGGCGAGCCCUUGCGGCAAGCCGGCCCCGAAAUCUAGUGGCGGUCUCGCUGCAGCUUCCAUUGCGUAGUAGUAAAACCCUCGCAACUGGUACGCGGCGCGGCCAAGCCGUUAAACCCCCAACUUCUGAAUGUUGACCUCGGAUCAGGUAGGAAUACCCGCUGAACUUAAGCAUAUCAAAGGCCGGGAGGAA